GAUGAACGCUGGCGGCGUGCCUAAUACAUGCAAGUCGAGCGAACGGACGAGAAGCUUGCUUCUCUGAUGUUAGCGGCGGACGGGUGAGUAACACGUGGAUAACCUACCUAUAAGACUGGGAUAACUUCGGGAAACCGGAGCUAAUACCGGAUAAUAUUUUGAACCGCAUGGUUCAAAAGUGAAAGACGGUCUUGCUGCCACUUAUAGAUGGAUCCGCGCUGCAUUAGCUAGUUGGUAAGGUAACGGCUUACCAAGGCAACGGUGCAUAGCCGACCUGAGAGGGUGAUCGGCCACACUGGAACUGAGACACGGUCCAGACUCCUACGGGAGGCAGCAGUAGGGAAUCUUCCGCAAUGGGCGAAAGCCUGACGGAGCAACGCCGCGUGAGUGAUGAAGGUCUUCGGAUCGUAAAACUCUGUUAUUAGGGAAGAACAUAUGUGUAAGUAACUGUGCACAUCUUGACGGUACCUAAUCAGAAAGCCACGGCUAACUACGUGCCAGCAGCCGCGGUAAUACGUAAGUGGCAAGCGUUAUCCGGAAUUAUUGGGCGUAAAGCGCGCGUAGCGGUUUUUUAAGUCUGAUGUGAAAGCCCACGGCUCAACCGUGGAGGGUCAUUGGAAACUGGAAAACUUGAGUGCAGAAGAGGAAAGUGGAAUUCCAUGUGUAGCGGUGAAAUGCGCAGAGAUAUGGAGGAACACCAGUGGCGAAGGCGACUUUCUGGUCUGUAACUGACGCUGAUGUGCGAAAGCGUGGGGAUCAAACAGGAUUAGAUACCCUGGUAGUCCACGCCGUAAACGAUGAGUGCUAAGUGUUAGGGGGUUUCCGCCCCUUAGUGCUGCAGCUAACGCAUUAAGCACUCCGCCUGGGGAGUACGACCGCAAGGUUGAAACUCAAAGGAAUUGACGGGGACCCGCACAAGCGGUGGAGCAUGUGGUUUAAUUCGAAGCAACGCGAAGAACCUUACCAAAUCUUGACAUCCUUUGACAACUCUAGAGAUAGAGCCUUCCCCUUCGGGGGACAAAGUGACAGGUGGUGCAUGGUUGUCGUCAGCCCGUGUCGUGAGAUGUUGGGUUAAGUCCCGCAACGAGCGCAACCCUUAAGCUUAGUUGCCAUCAUUAAGUUGGGCACUCUAAGUUGACUGCCGGUGACAAACCGGAGGAAGGUGGGGAUGACGUCAAAUCAUCAUGCCCCUUAUGAUUUGGGCUACACACGUGCUACAAUGGACAAUACAAAGGGCAGCGAAACCGCGAGGUCAAGCAAAUCCCAUAAAGUUGUUCUCAGUUCGGAUUGUAGUCUGCAACUCGACUACAUGAAGCUGGAAUCGCUAGUAAUCGUAGAUCAGCAUGCUACGGUGAAUACGUUCCCGGGUCU
rnacentral:rRNA from 1 species